AUUGAACGCUGGCGGCAUGCUUUACACAUGCAAGUCGAACGGUAACAGGCCGCAAGGUGCUGACGAGUGGCGAACGGGUGAGUAAUGCAUCGGAACGUGCCCAGUCGUGGGGAAUAACGCAGCGAAAGCUGUGCUAAUACCGCAUACGAUCUAUGGAUGAAAGCGGGGGACCGUAAGGCCUCGCGCGAUUGGAGCGGCCGAUGUCAGAUUAGGUAGUUGGUGGGGUAAAGGCCUACCAAGCCGACGAUCUGUAGCUGGUCUGAGAGGACGACCACCCACACUGGGACUGAGACACGGCCAAGACUCCUACGGGAGGCAGCAGUGGGGAAUUUUGGACAAUGGGCGCAAGCCUGAUCCAGCAAUGCCGCGUGCAGGAAGAAGGCCUUCGGGUUGUAAACUGCUUUUGUACGGAACGAAACGGUCUGGGUUAAUACCCCGGGCUAAUGACGGUACCGUAAGAAUAAGCACCGGCUAACUACGUGCCAGCCGCCGCAGUAAGAC
rnacentral:rRNA from 1 species